rnacentral:rRNA from 1 species
GCCAGACUCCUACGGGAGGCAGCAGUGGGGGAUAUUGCACAAUGGGGGGAACCCUGAUGCAGCGACGCCGCGUGGGUGAAGGAGCGUUUCGGCGCGUAAAGCCCUAUCGGCAGGGAAGAAGGAGGACGGUACCUGAGUAAGAAGCCCCGGCUAACUACGUGCCAGCAGCCGCGGUAAUACGUAGGGGGCAAGCGUUAUCCGGAUUUACUGGGUGUAAAGGGGGCGCAGACGGCGAUGCAAGCCAGGAGUGAAAGCCCGGGGCCCAACCCCGGGACUGCUCUUGGAACUGCGUGGCUGGAGUGCAGGAGGGGCAGGCGGAAUUCCUGGUGUAGCGGUGAAAUGCGUAGAUAUCAGGAGGAACACCGGUGGCGAAGGCGGCCUGCUGGACUGCAACUGACGUUGAGGCCCGAAAGCGUGGGGAGCAAACAGGAUUAGAUACCCUAGUA